UCCGGUUUAGUACCGGCAGUCGCGCUAGACAUAGUAACUAACGCCGAGGGUUGCGCUCGUUGCGGGACUUAACCCAACACCUCACGGCACGAGCUGACGACAGCCAUGCAGCAUCUGUGCUGACUCUCGACUUUACGAGUCGUUCCCUUUUCGGGGUUCUACUUCCAGCAUGUCAAACCUAGGUGAGGUUCUUCGCGUUGCAUCGAAUUAAACCACACGCUCCGCUGCUUGUGCGGGCCCCCGCCAAUUCCUUUGAGUUUUAGCCUUGCGGCCGUAGUCCCCAGGCGGAGUACUCAAUGCGUUAGCGACGGCACCGGGGGGGUCGAUACCCCCGACACCUAGUACUCAACGUUUAGGGCGUGGACUAC
rnacentral:misc_RNA from 1 species